rnacentral:rRNA from 1 species
GAGGAAAGGAGCGAUCCGGACAGGGAUGGGCAUGCGGCGCAUUAACUGGUCGGCGGGGUAACGGCCCACCGAGGCGACGAUGCGUAGGGGUUCUGAGAGGAAGGCCCCCCACACUGGUACUGAGACACGGACCAGACUCCUACGGGAGGCAGCAGUGAGGAAUAUUGGUCAAUGGGCGGGAGCCUGAACCAGCCAAGCCGCGUGAGGGAAGAAGGUACAGCGUAUCGUAAACCUCUUUUGUCAGGGAACAAAGGCGGGGACUAGUCCCCGGAUGAGGGUACCUGAAGAAAAAGCAUCGGCUAACUCCGUGCCAGCAGCCGCGGUAAUACGGAGGAUGCGAGCGUUAUCCGGAUUUAUUGGGUUUAAAGGGUGCGCAGGCGGCCUGUUAAGUCAGCGGUAAAAGCCCGGGGCUCAACCCCGGCGAGCCGUUGAAACUGGCGGGCUGGAGUUGGAGAGAAGUACGCGGAAUGCGCGGUGUAGCGGUGAAAUGCUUAGAUAUCGCGCAGAACCCCGAUUGCGAAGGCAGCGUACCGGCUCCACACUGACGCUGAGGCACGAAAGCGUGGGUAUCGAACAGGAUUAGAUACCCUGGUAGUCCACGCAGUAAACGAU